AUGAACGCUGACAGAAUGCUUAACACAUGCAAGUCGACUCGAGUCUUCGGACUUGGGUGGCGCACGGGUGAGUAACGCGUAAAGAACUUGCCUCUUAGACCGGGACAACAUCUGGAAACGGAUGCUAAUACCGGAUAUUAUGGUUUUUUCGCAUGGAGGAAUCAUGAAAGCUAGAUGCGCUAAGAGAGAGCUUUGCGUCCCAUUAGCUGGUUGGUGAGGUAACGGCCCACCAAGGCAAUGAUGGGUAGCCGGCCUGAGAGGGUGAACGGCCACAAGGGGACUGAGACACGGCCCUUACUCCUACGGGAGGCAGCAGUGGGGAAUAUUGGACAAUGGACCACAAGUCUGAUCCAGCAAUUCUGUGUGCACGAUGACGUUUUUCGGAAUGUAAAGUGCUUUCAGUCGGGAAGAAGUCAGUGACGGUACCGACAGAAGAAGCGACGGCUAAAUACGUGCCAGCAGCCGCGGUAAUACGUAUGUCGCAAGCGUUAUCCGGAUUUAUUGGGCGUAAAGCGCGUCUAGGCGGCAAGGAAAGUCUGAUGUGAAAAUGCGGAGCUCAACUCCGUAUGGCGUUGGAAACUGCCUUACUAGAGUACUGGAGAGGUAGGCGGAACUACAAGUGUAGAGGUGAAAUUCGUAGAUAUUUGUAGGAAUGCCGAUGGGGAAGCCAGCCUACUGGACAGAUACUGACGCUAAGCGCGAAAGCGUGGGUAGCAAACAGG
rnacentral:rRNA from 1 species